UGGGAUGUAGCUCAUUGGCUGGAGUGCCUGCUUCAUAUGCAGGAAGCCCUGGGCUUCAUCCCCAAAACCCCAU
rnacentral:tRNA from 1 species